rnacentral:rRNA from 1 species
UACGAAGGGUGCAAGCGUUAAUCGGAAUUACUGGGCGUAAAGGGUGCGUAGGCGGUUCGGUAAGUCUGUCGUGAAAUCCCCGGGCUCAACCUGGGAAUGGCGAUGGAUACUGGGCAGCUAGAGUGAGGCAGAGGGGGGUGGAAUUCCGCGUGUAGCAGUGAAAUGCGUAGAGAUGCGGAGGAACACCGAUGGCGAAGGCAGCUCCCUGGGCUAACACUGACGCUCAGGCACGAAAGCGUGGGGAGCAAACAGG